CUGUAGUAUUUAAAGGCCGUACCAGACAAAUGUGUAAACUCCACGUUAAUAAACUAAUACCUUAUCUUUCCUUAGAUGAUGAAGACUCAAAGUCCAGUGAUUUGCAAAAUUUAGACAAAUCAUCACCAGCUUCCGAGAGGCCUAAAAGAAAGGCUGCUGUGGAAAGCCGGAGAAAAACCUCUGAAAUGUUGAAUUUAUAAACUUUGAUAAAUUUAAUUUUUGUAUGCAUUGUAUAUAUAUUCUUAUGUAUUUAUCAAAAUCCAAAAACACAUGUUUUUGGAUUCGUUCCCCUGCAGUGUACUGAAAUUCCAUAUGGAAUUUGUAUUUUUUUUAUUAUUUGUUUAAUUAGCAUGGUCACUGGAAGACAGUUAACGUAAUUUUCAAAUAUUUAACUACCCCCUUGGUUGUUAACAGCUCACUGCCUUCCAGCGGCCGUUCUGGUUCUGUCCUAACCAACCACUAAUGAUUUUGCUUUCUUCCUGAGGUUGACGGAAACUUAAGUCAGUUACGAAGGAGAUUUCAAUCACGAAGGGUCUCGUAACUCAGAUACUCUGAGCUCUAUUGACUAUAUAAGGAUAUACAGCUAUAUCUUUGAAGUGACGACGACUAUUCCUUUCGACAUGUAAUCGCCGUUUAAACCCAGCCAGGAAGAAGCAUUCCUUCAUCGCAGUCUCUCACUCUACACGUACUUCGCCUUCGUCCCAGGAUGAUAUCGGUAUUUUGGAAGUGGCUGAAUUACUGCGGCUCCCCCAAGCUUCACGAUGAUCAACUUUGUGUAUUAGCUGCCGCAUCAGCACCUGGAUGAUAGGACAGUUUUCAAUUACAAUAAAUUACUUAAUUU